CUCUUUCGAAGAGAUUAUAACUCUACAUCUAUUGUUUCUUUCCCCUUUUGGUCAUUUAUCAUAUUGUGUACACAUUUCAAUAGAUAGUUCAUGAUCCUCAUUCUCAUCAACUGCUACAUUGCAUGCAUAAAUAUUCACGACGUCGAUUUGAUAUCAGUUCCAUAUUGUUCCAGACAUUACAUAUCUAUUUGAGAUUUCUUUAUUCUCAGGUACCCGAAUUUCUUUCUUGUCAUGUUUUCUAUCCCUUCUCGAGAUCCUUAAUAUUUCAUUCCUCGAUUCGAUCAUUCUCAUUCAUGCUCCUUUUCUCUUCUGAGGAUUAUUAUAUUUGGAACCGAUAGGUCUUUCGCGCUUCAGACGCUCUUUAGACACAUUAGCAGUUUGAUAUUAUUGUCGUUCUGGGACAUCCAUUUUAACUAGGAGCAUCUACAGCUGGUACUUGGGCAUUAAUCACUUUCUUAUGGUUAGUAAAUGAGUCUGGCAACUCAUAAGCUAAUCUUUGUAAUAUAAUUAUCUCCAUACAUUCUUUUUGGACUUCUAUUUACGCUCU
rnacentral:lncRNA from 1 species